rnacentral:lncRNA from 1 species
AUGGCUGAUGUAGAAUCCUACAUGUUUGAGACUCAGUGAUCAAGAAUCAAGAUUCUCUAAUCACGAGUUCCACACAUUAUGGGUACCGGGGUCAAGAGUCCCACUGGUUGGGAUUUUUCGAUCAGGUUUACAUAUCGAUGAAUUCUGAUGCCUGAUUGCCCAUAGGAUUUGGACUCAGUAUUUAUGAGAGGUUUAAUUAGUGAUUUAAUCAUUAAUUAACUCAAUUUGAUGGAGUAAUUAUUUUUGG